rnacentral:rRNA from 1 species
UACGUAGGUGGCAAGCGUUGUCCGGAUUUAUUGGGUUUAAAGGGUGCGUAGGCGGUUUCAUAAGUCAGUGGUGAAAUACGGCAGCUCAACUGUCGAGGUGCCAUUGAUACUGUGAGACUUGAGUACAGACGAGGUAGGCGGAAUUGACGGUGUAGCGGUGAAAUGCUUAGAUAUCGGCAAGAACACCGAUAGCGAAGGCAGCUUACUAGGCUGUAACUGACGCUGAGGCACGAAAGUGUGGGGAUCAAACAGG